CCUUGAACUGAUCCAUCUCCUGAUCGAGUUGCGACCAGAUAGACUGAACAUCGGAAUAAAUUGAGAAAAUUGCAUAAAGCGAGAGGAUGAGAGUGGCCGAGGAGAGGCACAAAGCCCCGGCGGUCGCUUUAGUGACGCUCAUUCGAGUCG
ensembl:ncRNA D2023.15 ncRNA